rnacentral:sRNA from 1 species
GAAACGUGAACCAAGCAGCCACAACAAUGGCAUGAGACUUGGAGCCAGCCUCGGCAACGAGACUGUGCA